rnacentral:rRNA from 1 species
GUCUACGGCCACACCACCCUGAACGCGCCCGAUCUCGUCUGGUCUCGGAAGCUAAGCAGGGUCGGGCCUGGUUAGUACUUGGGAUGGGAGACCGCCUGGGAAUACCGGGUGCCUAGCUU